GGUGUAGCAAGCUGGACAAGAGCGUGAGCGACAGUCAAGACAUGAGCUAUCCAGUGUAGGUUCAGACAGUUCAUUCAUUCAUUGCAGGUUCGGCAUGUCUCAUUAUGUCUUUUUGCUUCAUAUUCAGGGUCAAACUGGGCUAUAUUUCUUUCAUUGAGGCGAGGGUGAUUCCAGCAGAUUUUGCUUGGUGUACUCGCCUUUUUUCUUGAAGUUGGGCGUCAGUCGUCUCUGCGGCAAGGUGUCUGGUAGAAUUACUAGAAGUAGCGGAUCUACUUUUAUUUGCUGUCCUAGCUUGCCAUCAACUUACGCCAACGACGCAAGAUUUGUUCAUCGCAUGAAGCAAGGAAUUGAGAUGGCCAUCCACUUCAUAUUGUUAACUGGAUGGUGUCGCACUAUGAUUUAUGAAAGAAACCUAAACAAAUUGUUGUAAAUAACCCUAAGGAUUUUCUUUACCUUGAACUAUCUUUAAACGUAAUUAUUGGACUGCUUCAU